CCUACGGGAGGCAGCAGUGAGGAAUAUUGGUCAAUGGACGAGAGUCUGAACCAGCCAAGUAGCGUGAAGGAUGACUGCCCUAUGGGUUGUAAACUUCUUUUAUAUGGGAAUAAAACGUUCCACGUGUGGGAUUUUGUAUGUACCAUAUGAAUAAGGAUCGGCUAACUCCGUGCCAGCAGCCGCGGUAAUACGGAGGAUCCGAGCGUUAUCCGGAUUUAUUGGGUUUAAAGGGAGCGUAGGUGGAUUGUUAAGUCAGUUGUGAAAGUUUGCGGCUCAACCGUAAAAUUGCAGUUGAAACUGGCAGUCUUGAGUACAGUAGAGGUGGGCGGAAUUCGUGGUGUAGCGGUGAAAUGUUUAGAUAUCACGAAGAACUCCGAUUGCGAAGGCAGUUCACUGGACUGCAACUGACACUGAGGCUCGAAAGUGUGGGUAUCAAACAGGAUUAGAUACCCUUGUAGUC
rnacentral:rRNA from 1 species